GGAUAGCUUAGCGGUUAAGAUCUAUGUUUCUCACUCGAUAGACCCGGGUUCGUGUCCUUC
rnacentral:tRNA from 14 species